AAAAAUCACAUAACAUCAUGAAUAUCAUCUAAGACCGUUGUCCUAAUAAUCAUACAACGGUGUCUAAUUGUUACGUGAGGUACUUUAUACAAUUUUGAGGCUAACAAUCCUCUUUUUCUUCAUUAAUAUUUAUUUUCUUUUUCUUUCAAGGUUUCGAUGACUUAUAUAUAUUACAAACAGCUGAACAGGAAUUGCCUCCCUUACUAUGAUUGUGAACCAGGUUAGAGUAAUUUAGUUAGCUGUUACAUAGAUCUGGUCGGUUAAUGGUUAGUUGUUUAACGUCCAGUGGCAAAUAUUUCAUGUGUGUUCAGGUCAAUAAAUAUUACAUUUCAAUACUGUAUCGUAUAAUAAAGAGAGCAAAAGUCGUUUAAAAAGCAAAAGUGUAAUAUAUAAAAUAGCGUGUGGAAUUAUUAAUUCACUUUUUUUUUUAUUAAUUGAAAGUCAGGUUUAAAAUAAAUUUAAAAUUUGAAUUGUUUCAAUUGACUUCUGUUCGAGAGUACCUUUAUUUACCCAACGAGUUUGUUGGGUUUAUCUAUUCUGGCGAUGGAGUUUUUAAUUUAGUCUUUUCACGCGAUUAAGUUGUUGAAUUUAUCUAUUUACGCGAUGGCUCUAUUAUCAGAAUGUUUCGAAAAGUAUUUCCAGGUCCAAUAUAAUAAUUGUGUUUACUUUCAGUUUUUUUUAUUAUAUGCGCUAAAUUUCGUUUACAGGAAAUGAAAUACAGCCAUGUACUAAAAACUUUACUCGUGAUUUAUGUACACUUUGUUCGGAGGGAAUGGUACAACCAGAUUUGAUAUCUUCCUUUAAUGGAGAUGCGAGUACAACAGCCUGCUUUAAACCAAAGGAAAAAUGUCUGGCACAAGGUA
rnacentral:lncRNA from 1 species